GUUCCAUACUACAAAGACGCAGAGGACACCGGACCAUGAGACCACGGUACUGAGUCCUGCCGCUCCCUGACCAGAGAUCUUCCUUGAAGAAUAACUAAAGGGAGUUCUUCGGGAAGAUGCACACAUGAAAAUGCAGAAGGGAAUGAAGAGUGAUGAAAAGGGUAAAUGUGUGCGCCAGAAACCAGUUAAAGAAGAGUCUUUGAUGAGUGAGUUGUGGGAUGGUGCAUUUCUGUUAGAGAAGAGAUUGUGAAGAAGAGAAAGAAGAAGGAGAAGGAGGUGAAGGGGAAAGAGGAAGAAGGAAAUACAGGAGGAGGAAGAAGAAAUAAUAAAGAAAAGAACUCUUUUUCUUAGAGGGAAUCUGGAACGCAUCAAGACUACCCGGACUACACUGGGCAGUUUCUGGACAAAGUAGGCCUCCAUGCAUGUGGGAAAUAGCACAGAAGAGGGAGAUUGUGGAAGUACACCCUGCAGAUUCCAGGGAGCAAAUUCCCUAGGCUUCCCCUCUUCCCUCUCAUGCUACCCAGGCCACCACAGGCAACACAGAGGGAUUGGCCAGAUGGAGAUCUACUACUAGCAUGAAGGAACUGUGCUUGGCCUAGCACUUUUCAUGCAUCUCUCUGGGACCCUGUGGCUCCUAAGAGACUGUGUACUUGGCAGAAGCACAGAUUAUACAUAAAUAAGGGAAAGACUCUGUUUCAUCCAAGACACUAGUGGAUUGUCCAAUUGAUUGAGCCUUCUGUACCAACAGAGAUGGUUGUGAAUACAGUAGCAACAGGAUAAACAUUCAAACAAUCA